rnacentral:rRNA from 1 species
CCCUUAGAUGUUCUGGGCCGCACGCGUGCUACACUGAACGGUUCAAUGGGUAAGGUAGUGCGAAAGCAUGACCUAAUCUCGAAAUCCGUUCGUGCUGGGGAUAGAAGCUUGCAAUUAUCCUUCUUGAACGAGGAAUACCUUGUAAGCGUGAGUCUUCAUCUCACGCUGAAUACGUCCCUGCCCUUUGUACACACCGCCCGUCGCUCCUACCGAUUGAGUGUUCCGGUGAGGCUUUGGGAGAAUGGCCUCAACAUGAGUUUAUCGUGUUUUGCCGUUUGAACUUAGUCAAACCUUAUCACUUAGAGGAAGGAGAAGUCGUAACA